AGCGGGGUAGUGCUUGCACUACUGCCGGCGACCGGCGCACGGGUGAGUAACACGUAUGGAACCUGCCCGCAGCAGGGGGAUAAGCGGAAGAAAUUCCGUCUAAUACCGCGUAACAACGUUGGGAGGCAUCUCCCGAUGUUUAAAGAUUUAUCGGCUGCGGAUGGCCAUGCGGCGCAUUAGCUAGUCGGCGGGGUAACGGCCCACCGAGGCGACGAUGCGUAGGGGUUCUGAGCGGAAGGUCCCCCACACUGGUACUGAGACACGGACCAGACUCCUACGGGAGGCAGCAGUGAGGAAUAUUGGUCAAUGGCCGAGAGGCUGAACCAGCCAAGUCGCGUGAGGGAAGACGGCCCUACGGGUUGUAAACCUCUUUUGUCGGGGAGCAAAGCGAACCACGUGUGGUUCAUUGAGAGUACCCGAAGAAAAAGCAUCGGCUAACUCCGUGCCAGCAGCCGCGGUAAUACGGAGGAUGCGAGCGUUAUCCGGAUUUAUUGGGUUUAAAGGGUGCGCAGGCGGAGGUGCAAGUCAGCGGUCAAAUUGCGGGGCUCAACCCCGUACUGCCGUUGAAACUGCAUCCCUUGAGUGCGCGAGAAGUAUGCGGAAUGCGUGGUGUAGCGGUGAAAUGCAUAGAUAUCACGAAGAACUCCGAUUGCGAAGGCAGCAUACCGGCGCGCAACUGACGCUCAUGCACGAAAGCGUGGGUAUCGAAACCAGGGUAGAUACCCUGGUGGUCCACGCAGGUAAACGAUGAACACUUAACUGUUCGGCCAGAAUGAUGGGCUGAGUGGUACAGCGAAAGCGUUAAGUGUUCCACCUGGGGAGUACGCCGGCAACGGUGAAACUCAAAGGAAUUGACGGGGGCCCGCACAAGCGGAGGAACAUGUGGUUUAAUUCGAUGAUACGCGAGGAACCUUACCCGGGCUCAAACGACACAGGAAUACUUUUGAAAGGAGGUAGCCCUACGGGGUCUGUGUCGAGGUGCUGCAUGGUUGUCGUCAGCUCGUGCCGUGAGGUGUCGGCUUAAGUGCCAUAACGAGCGCGACCCCUAUCGCCAGUUACCAUCAAGUAAAGUUGGGACUCUGGCGAGACUGCCGGCGCAAGCUGAGAGGAAGGCGGGGAUGACGUCAAAUCAGCACGGCCCUUACGUCCGGGGCGACGCACGUGUUACAAUGGCAGGUACAGAGAGAAGCCAGGUGGCGACACCGCGCGGAACUCGAAAGCCUGUCUCAGUUCGGAUCGGAGUCUGCAACCCGACUCCGUGAAGCUGGAUUCGCUAGUAAUC
rnacentral:rRNA from 1 species